AUUGAACGCUGGCGGCAGGCCUAACACAUGCAAGUCGAACGGUAACAGGAAACAGCUUGCUGUUUCGCUGACGAGUGGCGGACGGGUGAGUAAUGUCUGGGAAACUGCCUGAUGGAGGGGGAUAACUACUGGAAACGGUAGCUAAUACCGCAUAACGUCGCAAGACCAAAGAGGGGGACCUUCGGGCCACUUGCCAUCGGAUGUGCCCAGAUGGGAUUAGCUAGUAGGUGGGGUAACGGCUCACCUAGGCGACGAUCCCUAGCUGGUCUGAGAGGAUGACCAGCCACACUGGAACUGAGACACGGUCCAGACUCCUACGGGAGGCAGCAGUGGGGAAUAUUGCACAAUGGGCGCAAGCCUGAUGCAGCCAUGCCGCGUGUAUGAAGAAGGCCUUCGGGUUGUAAAGUACUUUCAGCGGGGAGGAAGGGAGUAAAGUUAAUACCUUUACUCAUUGACGUUACCCGCAGAAGAAGCACCGGCUAACUCCGUG
rnacentral:rRNA from 1 species